rnacentral:rRNA from 1 species
UACAGAGGUCUCAAGCGUUGUUCGGAUUCAUUGGGCGUAAAGGGUGUGUAGGCGGACUGGUAAGUACCUUGUGAAAUCCCACGGCUCAACCGUGGAACUGCUCGGUAUACUGCUCGUCUUGAGCCACUUAGGGGCUGUCGGAACAAACGGUGGAGCGGUGAAAUGCGUAGAUAUCGUUUGGAACGCCAAUGGUGAAAACAGACAGCUGGGAGUGUGCUGACGCUGAGACACGAAAGCCAGGGGAGCGAACGGG